GAGAUUUUUUGCCCCUGUUAGAGAACAAACUCAGGCUUGUAGGAUUCCUAUGCCCUCCUCAGGGCAGCUGUUUGAACACAGCAAAGGUACAGAACAGAGAAAAGGCUGAGUAUGAUGGAAAAACUGAGGCACACAGAGGUGAACCAACUUGCCCAAGGUCACACAACAAAUCAGCAGAAGAGCCAGAGGAAGCUCAUAUCCUGAUGCCCAAACCAAUGACCUCCUGACUGAAGCAGGCUGCCUCAGAUGUUCUUUGACAUGAGAAAGUUAUCACUACACCCAGUUGAGAUCCCCAGCACUAAAGACAAGAGAAAUGAUUGUCCUAAGACUACAUUGCAACUUGGCAGCAGAGCUGGGACUAGAAUCUGCAGUAUCUUGAGUGCCAGCACCAUGCCCUGUCUACUAAAUCACAUUGUCUUCCAGGCAGUUUUGGGGCAGGGAGCUGUAUUUAUCGAGGGUUGUUUCUCUCAGCAUCUUCCUUUAUGGGGACUGAAGGUCAGAUUCUUGCAACUGAUCUUAUUUUUCCUGAAUGUCAAAGCAAUACAAAUCCUCAGGAAAGGUUACUCAGCUGCCUAGAAAGUUAUUUUAAUUUGUAUUCCUUUAGACAUUUUAUUAACUCUGUGCUGAAUUGAACCAUCCAUUCUUAAUGAGGACUCCCCAUUUUAGUUAAUGUGUAUGAAGUGGCUUGAUUUCAGUGGGGGAGUUUGGAAAAAAAAUUGAUGGGAUAAGAACUCUGCACCCCCUCCAAACACCCCUGUCCUCUCAAAAAAAUUAUUUUCCAGAUGAGGAGAUUUAGGCAGUUCACGGGCCAGAAUCAAAGGCAUUCAAGGGUAAUAUAAAAUUCUCCCUCUGCCCAGGGCUUUUCCAACCCUCCGGCUUACUCUGUGUCUAAACUCAAUUCCUCUGCAUCGCACACCAUAGACCUAGGCCUCAAUUAAAUUCUUCACUUUCCUCCAAAAUACAAAUAUAACCACCCUGAAAUGGGCUAGGAACCCAUGUGACAGGCUGAGUGUUAUUCUGUGUUGCCCUCGUGAAUUCAGUACUGCUAUUCCACAGAGUCUAAGAAACUUGUUUUUAUUUCAAGGAAAGCUGAGAUUCCUAUGAACUUAUAGGAUUCCAGCAGCUGGAGCUUUAAGAAACAAAUAUCACAAAGCUUGGGAUAAAAUAGAGAGUCAGCAACACAGGAAAAGCAUAAAUCUGUACUGAUGGAGCACUGAACCUUGCCUUCUGUGCAGACCUAUAACUGCCAUUGGGGUGCACAGCGAAUGCAGAAUUGUGCUCUGGGUGUCACAUGAUCAGCCCCCCUCUUAUG